CACCUCCUCUUUUUUCCCCCAUUCGCCAGUGGGUAGUGCGUGCAUGUGUGUACAGUGACAGUUUUGGAAUUUUGGUUUCUUAAAACUCAGAGCUGGAUAGUGGUGACACAUGCCUUUGAUCCUGGGAGGCAGAGGCAGGAGGAUCUCUUGAGUUUGAGGCCAGCCCGGUUUACAAAGUGAGUUCUAGGACAGCCAGGGCUACACAGAUAAACUGUGUCUAAACCCCAAAACCAACCAAAAACAGUGAAAGAGCUGGCUUUCAUUUUAAUCCCCAGUGUGGGGAUGUGGGGCUGCUCCCAACUGAUCACUGUGGCUGAAUGUGACUCACUUUGAGCUCAGCAGAGCUGUGGCUUUGCCAGCUACAGGCAGUUGCUUUGGUUGUGUGAACAUGAUGGUUAGGAAUUGUGGAACUUUUCAAGAGAGCGUAGAAAUGGUAGACACCACCCCACCACCACCCCACCUCCUCCAAGAGGCAUGGUGUGAGCUCAGGGGUUGGUUGUGGUAUGUUAGUCUUGCUCAAAGAAGAGAGAAAUUAGAUUCAGAGAUCCCUAUCUCUCCCCUCUAUCCUUCUUUCCUAUCUAGUGAUGGGGUAGAUAAAGGGGAGGAAAAAACCCACAAAGUCUCAAAGACUGACUGUCUAUGUGUGUUUAGAUGUAUUUUGCCCGGCAUAGUGGUUUAUUCCUGUAGCCCCAGCAUCCAGGUGGCAGAGGCAUACAGAUGUCUAUAACUUGAGUGCC
rnacentral:lncRNA from 1 species